GACGAACGCUGGCGGCGUGCCUAAUACACGCAAGUCGAGCGGACGGAUGGGAGCUUGCUCCCAGACCGUCAGCGGCGGACGGGUGAGUAACACGUGGGCAACCUGCCUGUAAGACUGGGAUAACUCCGGGAAACCGGGGCUAAUACCGGAUAACUCUUUCCCUCCCAUGAGGGAAAGCUGAAAGAUGGCAUCUCGCUAUCACUUACAGCUGGGCCCGCGGCGCAUUAGCUAGUUGGUGAGGUAACGGCUCACCAAGGCGACGAUGCGUAGCCGACCUGAGAGGGUGAUCGGCCACACUGGGACUGAGACACGGACCAGACUCCUACGGGAGGCAGCAGUAGGGAAUCUUCCGCAAUGGACGAAAGUCUGACGGAGCAACGCCGCGUGAGUGAUGAAGGUUUUCGGAUCGUAAAACUCUGUUGUCAGGGAAGAACAAGUACCGGAGUAACUGCCGGUACCUUGACGGUACCUGAACAGAAAGCCACGGCUAACUACGUG
rnacentral:rRNA from 1 species